GAUCUUUAUUGGAGUAUAAUUGCUUUCACUGUUGUGCCAGUUUCUGCUGUACAACAAGGUAGAACCAUCGGGAUUGGAAGAGGGAUGAGCCAAUGGACUGGAUAUCAGAGUCAAGAGAAAGAGAGACAUGAAGGACAACCCUAUGUCUUUAGGUCCGCUCAACCGCCACUGGAGCUUGCAUGGUGACAGUUAUCUCUUGAGGGAAGUAGCAAACUCUGGAAAGUCUUUGGAAGAAACAGCA